GACUGAGUGGCCAAGUUGGUUAAGGCGUACGACUGUUAGAAAUAUCUAGUCAUCGUAAGAUCGAGAGUUCGACCCUCUCCUCGGUCG
rnacentral:tRNA from 2 species